rnacentral:rRNA from 1 species
AUACGGAGGAUGCGAGCGUUAUCCGGAUUUAUUGGGUUUAAAGGGUGCGUAGGCGGACGAUUAAGUCAGCUGUGAAAUGCCCGCGCUUAACGCGGGAAGUGCAGUUGAUACUGGUUGUCUGGAGUGCCGUUGCCGUGGGGGGAAUGUGUAGUGUAGCGGUGAAAUGCAUAGAUAUAGCCCAGAACACCGAUUGCGAAGGCAUCUCACGAAUCCGAGACUGACGCUGAGGCACGAAAGCGUGGGGAUCAAACAGGAUUAGAUACCCUGGUAGUCCACGCAGUAAACGAUGAUAACUAACCGUCGGCGAUAGAAUGUCGGUGGCCAAGCGAAAGCGAUAAGUUAUCCACCUGGGGAGUACGUUCGCAAGAAUGAAACUCAAAUGAAUUGGCGGGG